rnacentral:tRNA from 1 species
UCCCUGGUGGCUCAGAUGGUAAAGCGUCUGCCUGCAAUGCAGGAGACCUGGGUUUGAUCCCUGGGAUGGGAA